GACGAACGCUGGCGGCGUGCCUAACACAUGCAAGUCGAACGGUAAGGCCCUUUCUGGGGUACACGAGGGGCGAACGGGGGAGGAACACGCGAGUAACCUGCCCAUAACUCUGGGAUAAGGCUAGGAAAACGGGGUGAUUACUGGAUAUGUGAUCUUGCUGCACGGUGGGGGGUGGAAAGCUCCGGCGGUUGGGGAUGGACUCGCGGCCUCUCAGCUUGUUGGUGGGGUAGCGGGCUAGCAAGGCGGCGACGGGUAGCCGGCCUGGGAGUGUGACCGGGCACAGUGGGACUGGGAUACGGCCCAGACUCCGACGGGAGGCGGCGGUAGCGGAUGGUACUCAAUGGGCGCGAGCCUGAUGCAGCAACAGCGCGGGCGGGAUGGCGGCCAUCGGGUUGGAAUCCGAAUUCAGCAGGGACGGAGCUUUUUGUGACGGUACCUGCAGAAGAAGCACCGGCUAACUACGUG
rnacentral:rRNA from 1 species